rnacentral:rRNA from 1 species
GAUGAACGCUAGCGGCAGGCCUAACACAUGCAAGUCGAGGGGUAACAGGAAAGCUUGCUUUUGCUGACGACCGGCGCACGGGUGCGUAACGCGUAUGCAACCUACCUCAUACUGGAGGAUAGCCCUUGGAAACGAGGAUUAAUACUCCAUGGUAUCAUGAAUUCGCAUGUUUUUAUGAUUAAAGGUUACGGUAUGAGAUGACUAUGCGUCCUAUUAGUUAGUUGGUAAGGUAACGGCUUACCAAGACUACGAUAGGUAGGGGCCCUGAGAGGGGGAUCCCCCACACUGGUACUGAGACACGGACCAG